UAGAGUGACCAACCUUCCUGGUUUGCCUGGGACUCAGAGAGUUCCUGGUAUGCAGGGUUUCAAAAAAAUAUA
rnacentral:miRNA from 1 species